CAGUCGCCGCGGGGAUACGUAGGGUGCGAGCGUUAAUCGGAAUUACUGGGCGUAAAGCGUGCGCAGGCGGUUCGUUAAGUCUGUUGUGAAAGCCCCGGGCUCAACCUGGGAAUGGCAAUGGAUACUGGCGAGCUAGAGUGUGUCAGAGGAUGGUGGAAUUCCCGGUGUAGCGGUGAAAUGCGUAGAGAUCGGGAGGAACAUCAGUGGCGAAGGCAGCCCCCUGGGCCAACACUGACGCUCAUGCACGAAAGCGUGGGGAGCAAACAGGAUUAGAUACCCCCGUAGUCCCUGUCUCUUAUAC
rnacentral:rRNA from 1 species